rnacentral:rRNA from 1 species
UACGUAGGGGGCAAGCGUUGUCCGGAUUUAUUGGGCGUAAAGAGCGUGUAGGCGGCCAUGUAGGUCCGUUGUGAAAACUCGAGGCUCAACCUCGAGACGCCGAUGGAAACCAUGUGGCUAGAGUCCGGAAGAGGAGAGUGGAAUUCCUGGUGUAGCGGUGAAAUGCGCAGAUAUCAGGAAGAACACCCGUGGCUAAGGCGGCUCUCUAGUACAGUACUGACGCUGAGACGCGAAAGCGUGGGGAGCGAACAGG